rnacentral:tRNA from 1 species
AGAGACUUAGGAUAACCUUAAAACCGGGAGCCUUCAAAGCUUUAAAUAGAAGUGAAAAUCUUCUCGUCCCUG